rnacentral:misc_RNA from 1 species
AUGAAUUUCUCAUGUGUUGCAGAAUUCAAUUAUUUCGAUACUCCAGAAUAUUUAUCAUUACUUAUGCACAUUGUUACUAUAGUAUCAAUUCCAAUUCAUUGUCUUGGCCUUUAUUGUAUUAUUUACAAGACUCCUGAACGAAUGAAAACAGUUAAAUGCAGUUCCAUUUUUGCUUAUUCCGAAAGCUGCGGGGUAUCCACUCGGACUGUCUAAAUAUACAGAUAUUUCUUUGGCAUAUCAAACAAUAAUUAUUUUGAUCCUUUUUGCGUACAUGGUAAUAUCCAUUGUAUCAAUAUUUGAAAAUCGAUUUUUCAUAAUUUGCACAUUUUCAUUUAAACACCACUGGGUAUAUUUGAGGCGUUUAUGGUUAGCUGCUCAUUACGUCAUCGUAGUAUUUUUAAUGCUCCCUAUGGUAUUCCUUGUCCCUGAAGAAAAUAUUGCUCAGCACAUUUUCGAGCAACUUCCAUGUUUACCUAGCUAUAUUUAUAAUGCUCCAGUGUUUGUUUUUACUGAAGAUAUUACUUAUCACUUUAUCAUAUCAGUCAUAUUUGUUGUUCUUUGUUGUCUUGAAAUUAGCGUAUUUGUUGGAUAUCUUGCCUCAAACAGCUUGGAGCAAUUGAAGCAAAAACGGAUGUCCCCGAAAACAUUUCAACUUCAGAAAAAGUUUUUUAUAGUCCUAGUCAUUCAAAUGUCAAUUCCGUUGAUAUGUUUUCUAUUUCCACUUAUUUCUGCAGCACUGUCAGUUUUACUCAAUUAUUACAACCAGGGAAUGAUUAAUACUGGACUUAUAAUAGCUUCAUUGCAUGGAAUUGUUUCAACAGUCACUAUGCUUCUACUUCAUAGACCAUAUCGGAGAGCAGUGAAAGCAAUUUUCUAUAAAUCUGAAAUGAGCAACCAGACGGAAGAUUCACAAAGUCGGGCUUUCAAGCUACGGCAUUUUAAGACCUAUAAGACAGCUAUCGCUUAG